rnacentral:rRNA from 1 species
GAUCCUGGCUCAGAUUGAACGCUGGCGGCAUGCCUUACACAUGCAAGUCGAACGGCAGCACGGGAGCAAUCCUGGUGGCGAGUGGCGAACGGGUGAGUAAAGUAUCGGAACGUACCUUUCAGUGGGGGAUAACGUAGCGAAAGUUACGCUAAUACCGCAUAUUCUGUGAGCAGGAAAGCAGGGGAUCGCAAGACCUUGCGCUGAUUGAGCGGCCGAUAUCAGAUUAGCUAGUUGGUGGGGUAAAGGCCUACCAAGGCGACGAUCUGUAGCGGGGUCUGAGAGGAUGAUCCGCCACACUGGAACUGAGACACGGUCCAGACUCCUACGGGAGGCAGCAGUGGGGAAUUUUGGACAAUGGGGGCAACCCUGAUCCAGCCAUGCCGCGUGAGUGAAGAAGGCCUUCGGGUUGUAAAGCUCUUUCGGCCGGGACGAAAUCGCACGGGCUAAUAUCCUGUGUGGAUGACGGUACCGGAAUAAGAAGCACCGGCUAACUACGUGCCAGC